UACGGAGGGUGCGAGCGUUGUUCGGAAUUACUGGGCGUAAAGCGCGCGUAGGCGGCUUUGUAAGUUAGAGGUGAAAGCCCGGGGCUCAACCCCGGAAUUGCCUUUAAGACUGCAUCGCUUGAAUCCGGGAGAGGUGAGUGGAAUUCCGAGUGUAGAGGUGAAAUUCGUAGAUAUUCGGAAGAACACCAGUGGCGAAGGCGGCUCACUGGACCGGCAUUGACGCUGAGGUGCGAAAGCGUGGGGAGCAAACAGG
rnacentral:rRNA from 1 species